rnacentral:rRNA from 1 species
UACGUAGGGUGCGAGCGUUGUCCGGAAUUAUUGGGCGUAAAGAGCGUGUAGGCGGCUAGGUAGGUCCGUUGUGAAAACUCGAGGCUCAACCUCGAGACGCCGGUGGAAACCAUCUAGCUAGAGUCCGGAAGAGGAGAGUGGAAUUCCUGGUGUAGCGGUGAAAUGCGCAGAUAUCAGGAGGAACACCGGUGGCGAAGGCGGGUCUCUGGGCCGAAAUUGACGCUGAGGAGCGAAAGCGUGGGGAGCAAACAGG